GGGGUUGUGGCUCAGCGGUAGAGCACUCACCUAGCAUGUGUGAGGCCCUGGGUUCCAUCCUCAGCACCA
rnacentral:tRNA from 1 species